rnacentral:lncRNA from 1 species
UUUCUAUAAUGGACACAACAACUAGGCACAAGACCAAGAAGGCAAUAGGACUUGUACACUAUAAACCAAUUAGACCUAACAGAAUAGAACACUCCACCCAACAACAGAAGAAUGUACAUUUAUUUCAAGUGCUCACAGAACAUUCUCCAGGACAGACUACAUGCUAGCGAGGUCAUAAAAUAAACUUGAACAAAUUUUCAAAGACUGAAAUAAUACAAAGUAUGUUCUCAAGCCACAAUGGAAUGAAAUAAGAAACUGAUAAGAAAGAAAUUGGAAAGCUAACUAAUAUGUGAAAAUUAAACAAUACACUACUAAAUAAUCGAGUCAAAGAAGAAAUCAACAGGGAAAUUGGAAAACAGUUUGAGAAGAAUGGAAAGGAAGACACAAUAUACCAAAACUUAUCAGAUAAAGUAAAGCAAUACCUAGAGAGAAAUUGUGAUGACUAUGGAAAACUUUAAUAACCACUUGAUCAAACUCAAAACUCACAAGAUUGAAAUUCAUUAAAGAAGGAAAACAAAGCCACACAGGACCUAGAUCUUCAGCAUACAAGGAAACAAAAAACACUGCAACUUUCAAAUUACCUCUAAGUAGAGAUAAAAAGAAAAAAUUCCAACAGAUUUCCUGUAGCCUUCCAGCUGCUAUAAGCUUAUAAGUAUGAAAAGUAAAUAAAAGGAGUCUUAUUAAAAGACUACACACAAAAAGUAGAGAGUAACAGAGGAACUAGAGGAAGUACAGCCAAAAUUACUCCCAGAAAACAAAAGUGCAAUAAUAAUGCCAAAAUAUUAUACAGGACUUGGUAGUCCAUAGCCCUGGCUAUGGGAAGAAGUUUGAAAAUGGAAGGAACCAGAAAUGGCUGCCUUGGAGAAGCAAGAUGUGUACACGUGUACACACGUAAAAGUAUGUGGACUCCUU